ACUCGGGAGCACCAGAAAGCCCGACUAGCUCAGCAGCUCUUUAUGACAUCUGGCACACACUAACUUGCUUCCAGCUCGGCUCGUAGAGCUGGGCUCUGUCCUGCUUUGAAACUAGCCCCAGCUCCUCAAUUACCUUCUGCCCUUAUUCAUGCCCUGCCAAUUCCUCUUUGCUGGAAUCUGAAUGAAGCUACUGCAUCUGCCAAGGCCAAGAAGCUGCUGUAAGGACUUGUGGGGCUCGCCUUGGAAGUGAAGGUGGCAUUUAGAAUCAGGUAGGUGGAGAGCUCAUUCAACACUGGGCAUUAUGGGUAAUAAGAGGAAGGUAGAGAUUUUCGAAUACAUUUUCUUGUUGGAUAUUCCUAGGAAAGAGGUAAGAGUUAUCUGCUCUGGGGCUUAGGCAGAGCCCGUGCUCAAAUCAAAAGCCCACAGGACAGGUGUGAAUGAACAUUCUCUUCAGAGCAUCCCCUUGGCAAACAGACUCCCGCUCACCUGGCAGCUGCCAGUGCUGUGACCCAGUCAGCUCCUGUCAGCCAGGAGAGAUGGUUUCUCUACUUCCUCAAGUCCUGAGUUAAGAGGACUGAACUGAUGAGCAAAGCCAUUUCUUCAGGUCAAUACAUCAACUUUCAGCAGAAGGAUCUACCGGAAGUCCAACACUGUGGAAAGCAAGUCGAGACUUGGAAAUGGGGAGGGGAGGAUGGAAGCAUCCUUCAAGCUUUUACCUCACGCUUGAAAGAAGUUCUGCAAAAGGCGCUCUUGAAUUUGCCCAGCUUUAUCUCCUCAGCCCUUUUGUUCACUGUGGGUUUGCUGUUAGCUUACCUGCAAACACCACACAAGAGCAGACCAACUACCAAAGAAUCUAGUGUGACAAGAAGAGAAACGUCUCCCCAAAAAUAAUCUCCAAAGGAUUGGCCAGAAAUGACCUGUGGAGGUGAGAGGACACACCUGUUCUCAUUAAGACUCUCUCUCUCUCUCUCUCUCUCUCUCUCUCUCUCUCUCUCUCUCUCUCGCUCUCACUCUCGCUCUCUCUCUCUCCCCUAAGUGUACACCCACCAAGCUCCACUUCUUACUCUGAGGUGACACUGUCCAGAUGACAGCAAUGCCAUGGAAAGUCACAACCUUAAUCAUUAAAGACACACGUGUGUUUCCACACUCCAAACACACUGAACACAAGCAAGUCUCUGAACACCUGGCCCACAGUAGAAUGUAACAUUUGGAAGUAGAUAAAACAUGCCAUUUGCCAAGCAACCAGCCACCGCCAUAAAUUUUAUAGGCUAAAGUAUCUUCCAACUGCAGGUUUUAGUAGAUAGGCCGCUCAGGACCCCAGUUCUGAAAAUCAACUCAAUCUUUACUUAGCUCUACUCUAGAGAUGGACAUGUCUUUAUAGGAUAUUGCAGGUAUCUUGGCUGCCUCAGCAGCAGGAAACUAUAUUUCACAGGCUGAAGACAUAGGAUGCCUUGUCUGCAGGAUUCCAUGGUCGAUUAGCAAAUGCCAUAAACAGAGCAUGCUGUACUGUUGGAAGUGAGCAGCGAGUUUCAUGUGUUGCCCAGCACCAUCUUAAAAGGGGGACUUCAGGCCCAAAUGGAUAUCAUAGUUGACUUUGAAGUCAAUUAAAAAGAAAAAGUACAACUAGUAGAGUCAUUAAGUCAACAGAUGUUCUCGGAAUAGGUGACUCAACGCCUUCACAGGGCUACGGAAGAGGAUAUGAAGACCAGAGAGAACAUGUGUCCAAAACCGCUGUCGUCUUUUCACCCCAUUUGUUUUAGAAUGAGCCAAUGUGUGGGUUGAUUGCCUAUCCUAUGGCUAAUGAUUAUGCAAAUAUUUGCAAAUCGCUCUGAUCAUGCACUCAAGCACCAAAAGAAGGCGAAGGAAAACCAGUCCUUCCUGCUGCUCCCGACAGGCAGUAAGAGCUCAGCCUUGACUCCGUGAGCUUACUGUUGUACAGACCCCUAUACGCAGGGAACUGGACAGGCUUUUGGAAGUUUUGAGAUCCAAAAACUCUGUGUCGAGCUGGUAAAUAGCUCUCUGUGUUUUUGUGCCAGAGGUAGUCAAGCUGCGACGUUUAAAACAGGAAGUGAACUGAUCCUGUUUUACAUGGGAAAUAAAAAGGAAGGCCACUGGAGGCCUGUAUAGUAGCAGUAAUUACAGAUUCAAGGGGAUUCUCAGCCCAAAGGUUGUCUAAUGGCCCAAUGCUAUGGGCUAGGACAUUUUGGGUCUUUCUUGAGUCAAACUGGAGGUGGGACAGGAAGAAAAGGGGACAUCCUAGCAGAUGUCCUUCCUGAGGUACCAAGCCAGCCCAUCUGUAAAUGUAGAGAGAAAGUGGGACAUCUCUUCAGCCUAGACCAACAGUGCUGAUUGGUGUGGCUAGCCACAGCCUGGCACCUCACUCUUUCCUAUUCAAAAGCAGAAGGCCAAUGGGCAUUGCUGGGUGCCAUAUCAGCCCUCUGUGUUCUUGGCUGGGAGGUAAUUAAUCCCCUCCAUCUGGACUAUGCAGCCACAAGCCAGGUUAACUGGACUGUAACAGGAUAAAGGCAGAAAAUAUCACAGUUCUGAAUCCUAAAUAUCCCAGAGAAGGUCAGAUCUGCUACUGCCAUGAUCAGAUAGGAGAACUUGCAUCUUCUUAAUGCAAGGGGCCCGCCCCGUGGAAGGCCAGAAAUCUCUAUUCCUUGGUAGUGUGUAUAAAAUACCCUUUACUGUAGUCUAUAGCUUGAAAAGUCUUUUGUUCAAAUAUUAUUUGCAUCUGAAAGUAUCAAUGAAAAUGUUUUGGACAGUAAGAAAUAAAAACCUUAAAACACC
rnacentral:lncRNA from 1 species